GACGAACGCUGGCGGCGUGCUUAACACAUGCAAGUCGAACGGAAAGGCCCCUUUUGGGGUGCUCGAGUGGCUAACGGGCGAGUAACACGUACGUAACCUGCCCUUGCCUUCCUUAUGGCUACCUUCAACUGGGUCUAAUACCUGAUAGGAAUCCUUUCUUCAUGGAGGGGGUUGGUAAGCUUCUGCGGGUUUGUGUGUACUCGCGCCUUAUCCUCUUGUUGGUGGGUUCUUUGCUUACCUAGGCUUUGACGGGUGGCCGGCCUGUGAGGGCGACCGGCCACAUUGGGACUUAGAUACGGCCCAGACUCCCACGGGAGGCAGCAGUGGGGAAUAUUGGAAAAUGGGCGGGAGCCUGAUGCAGCAAAGGCGCGGGCGGGAUUACCGCCUUCGGGUUGGAAAACGGUUUUAGCAGGUGCGAAGCUGGGGGUGACGGUACCUGCAGAAGAAGCACCGGCUAACUACGUG
rnacentral:rRNA from 1 species